ensembl:rRNA 5S_rRNA 5S ribosomal RNA
GUCCACGGCCAUACCACCCUGAACACGCCCGAUCUCAUCUGAUCUCGGAAGCUAAGCAGAGUUGGGAGUGGUUAGUACUUGGAUGGGAGACCGCCUGGGAAUACCAAGUGCCAUAGGCU